CAAAAGUGGUGUCAAACAGUUGGCCACAGAUCACAGAUAGCAUUAAAAAUCAAAAGCCACAUAAACCCCAAAACGCAGACGCUCCGAACGGAAAACGCUGCCGGAAACUCCCCAAGGUCACAGCUUCAUCUUCAGAUUGCAGCAUUUGGUGAUAAAUGCAGGAUCCGAAGAAGCCGCUGGCCGAUGAGUUUUCGACUCCUAAGCUGAAGAAAAAGAAACCCUCGACCCAGAAGGCCCUCCUCCACUCCCGGUAAAAGCAGGGCAUAAAGGAACCAAAAGAAACAUGAAGAAUGAAGUUUCUCCGUCGUUCCAGCAGCAGCCAGAGAGGUUGAGCUCAGAUUCGUUGCCGGAGUCCUCCCCAUCUGGAAGUGGGUACCGUGCACUGAGGCUCAAGUAUCUGCUGCUGGAAGAAGAGAGCUUUGCGUUGGGGAGAGAUCUAAGAGAGGUUGAAGAUGAGGUCAAGACCCUCGAGGACGAGAAGCAUGCACUCUUGGACAAGCUUGUUGUGCUAGAAGGCCUUGUUGAUCCUUCGGAAUUGCAGCCGCAGGGGUUGCAUUUAUCGUAGCUUAUCUCUCGAUAUCGUUACCGGUUUUUGUGGUUAAAUUUGCACACUUGUAAAUUGCUAGACGUGUGAUCUCAAAGAUUAGAGAAUGGUCAUUAUGCCGAACUUAUUAAUGUUAAAACUUCUUUGGCACACUUUGAUGAUCGAA